GUGCCAGCCGCCGCGGUAAUACAGAGGGGGCCAGCGUUAUUCGGAAUUAUUGGGCGUAAAGGGCGCGUAGGCGGCCAUGCGUGUCUUCCGUGAAAUCCCUCGGCUUAACCGAGGACGUGCGGAAGAAACUGCAAGGCUCGAGUCCGGAAGAGGGGGGCGGAAUUCCCAGUGUAGCGGUGAAAUGCGUAGAUAUUGGGAGGAACACCAGUGGCGAAGGCGGUCCCCUGGGCCGGAACUGACGCUGAGGCGCGAAAGCGUGGGUAGCAAACGGGAUUAGAAACCCCCGUAGUCC
rnacentral:rRNA from 1 species